UACAGAGGUCCCAAGCGUUGUUCGGAUUCACUGGGCGUAAAGGGUGCGUAGGUGGUUGGGUAAGUCUGAUGUGACAUCUCUGAGCUCAACUCAGAAACUGCAUUGGAUACUAUCCGGCUAGAGAAUCGGAGGGGGGACUGGAAUACUUGGUGUAGCAGUGAAAUGCGUAGAUAUCAAGUGGAACACCAGUGGCGAAGGCGGCCACCUGGACGGUGACUGACGCUGAGACGCGAAAGCGUGGGGAGCAAACAGG
rnacentral:rRNA from 1 species